CAGCAGUUUGGGCCGCCCGGCUCGUUGUGAACUAUGUGAAGACCAUUUCUUCCUAACAAAGACCUUAAUUAAUUUGCCAAAAUUGUACAUAAUUAUGACAUAACAUUGAAUGUUGUGCAAUGUAACAGCAAUAUUUAGACUUAGGGAUGCCAUCCGCACUGACAGUAAUGGUUUAUGGAAAGUGAAUAAAAUUAUUUCUUCAUCAUCUUGCUAGGUAGUUAUAUAGCUGUGGCCAUCUGGCUUGUAUCAACAAGUGCUUUCUACGAAAUUGCAACGUUAGCGCAGAUAGCUUGGAAUCUAGACUAUAAGCAAUACGCACAGAUAUGUAUUGCUAAACAAUGCUACUGCCACCUUCUGGUUUGGAGUAUUUUAACAAGGCUGAACACAAAAGAGAUUGACUGCCAACACUGAGGUGCUAAGUAUUGUUGACAGGUAAACAUUUGACAAUUCUACCGGUGUGUCUGAGCUUUAUGCUUAUAACAAGUAAAAAUGCAUCAACCUGUCAGCUUUAGUGUCACAAAAAGUUAUACUAUCAUGCCUUUGUCUUGCCCCUCUCCCCAUUCUCUGCCACCUCUCCUCCUUUCUCACCACUGCCCCAUCUCCCCCUCUCCCUACCCUUCUCUCACCCUCUCUCUCUGUAGUUCAGCAAUAAGAUAAAGUAUGUGAACAGCCUGGCGGAGCUACAAGAUAUAAUUCCAUUGGAGUAUGUGAACAUCCCUGAGAGCAUUAUCAAAGUUGAUAAAAGAAUACAUUCUGGUGUUUGAUCAUUCCUUGAUGACAGGCUACCCGUUUGGCCAUAUGACGUUGUGGUCAAGAGUAGACCACACUCUUCCUGCCUGCACACACCUGUGGUGAAGAGGAAAGGCUAUUCUACCAUACCUUAUUACUCUGCCAUGCAAGACAUAGGCACAGCAAGAAUCCAGGCUGUGUUAAACACAUAUUUUGGGACAUAUUGGGGAUUAUGAGAGUUUUUGUAAGCAAACAUGUUUUCAUUUACAUUCAUGUUUUCGAAAUGUAAUCCAUUGUUUAGAACCUGUCACACACUCAAUUACUGUUAUUUUCCAGGAUCAUAAGGUUGUCUCCACAUACAGUACAGUUAGGGGCAUUAAAAAGGUACUUCUUCUAAAUGAUUUUGUUGUAGCAAUGAUACAUCAUUAAUGUGACACACUCGCAGGGUGACUGCAAGCUCCAAUUUGAUUAGCAAUCAUCUACCAAUAACCCAUGUAAUGAAAUAGGUUUCUCAAAUAUGCCUCUGACAAUGCAGUUCUAUCAUUGUUUUUCUUGCUCUGCAGUACAGGUUCAUUUUAGAAUGCCCCCAACUGUACAAGUACAUACACUUGCAGUGCGUGCAUGCGUGUGUGUGUUUGUGUGACUCAAGUUGGCCACUGUGCAUUCACGUACUGGACAUUUACAUAUGUAAAAGUAAAUAUCUGUUACCUUCA